rnacentral:rRNA from 1 species
UACAGAGGGUGCGAGCGUUAAUCGGAAUUACUGGGCGUAAAGCGCGCGUAGGCGGCUUUUUAAGUCGAUUGUGAAAUCCCCGGGCUUAACCUGGGAACUGCAGUCGAGACUGUCUAGCUAGAGUAUGGGAGAGGGAAGUGGAAUUUCAGGUGUAGCGGUGAAAUGCGUAGAUAUCUGAAGGAACAUCAGUGGCGAAAGCGACUUCCUGGACCAAUACUGACGCUCAUGUGCGAAAGCGUGGGGAGCAAACAGG